CAUUGUUAAAAAUUAAAUUAUAGAAAUUUAUAACAAGAUGAAUUAUGUUAAAAAAGGUAAUAAAUUUUCAGUAUAUGUAUUAUUUGACUUAUUUUUACUAUUAUCAUGCUCUUGAGAUUAUUUACAUCUCUUGUAUUUGUAUAAGUGGAAAUACUAUGUAAUGAUGUGUUACUCUACCCCUUAUUGCCACACUGUGUAGUGGUGGUGUACUCAAUUCCCAAUUCUGCAUUCAGUAAUGGUCAGUUGGUAGCUUGAAACUGGCCAUAGUAGGAAUAUUUACACCAUGGAUAUAUGAUAUAUGUGUAUAGGGCUGUCGAGAAAGCAUAUAACCCUGUAAUAUGAAAAAUAGUAUUCAUAAUGUCUGGAUACUUCCCAGACAGCACACACACACCACAUACACACAGACACACACACAUAAUAUAAACCAGGCCUUAUCUAUUAAAGAGUCAGUUUUAAGACCUUUCCAUAGACUAUAUCUUAUGUAGGCUAAAAUUCUCAAAACAUUAUUAUCCCUUUACUCCUCUUUGCCCCUAACCCUUGUCUUUGUGGAAUUGAGGAAGCAACUGCAAUGUUAACUGAACUUUUAUAAAUUCUCAUAUCCUUGGUACUGGGAACAUAGCAUUGAAGAAUCUUGACAAAGACCAUGUACUCUUAAAUCUCAUAAGUGCUUAAAAACAAUAAAAAAACAAGAAAAUAUUUGAUAUCGUAAGUGUUAUACAGGACAUUAAAAUAGACAGAUGUGAGAGAUUCACAAGAAAAGUAUCCAAGAAGGGUAUUGUCUAAUUAAACAUGUCAUCUGAAUGACAAGAUGGAGUCAAUUGUGUUAAAAAUUAGAGGAAAGAUCAUUCCAAGAAGUUUGAAAAUGAACCUGCCAUGCUAAAAGUGAAAUAACUCUUAUGUCUAAGGUAGAGUGGGUGUGGGAGGGUUAUACAAGAGGAAGGAAGAGUUAUACCAUGUCAGACUAUGUACAAGUCAAGAGAAGAGAUUGAAUUUUAUUCCAAGUACCAUGCAAAGCUAUUGGAGGAUUAAAAAGAUGGGUAGCAUAUUAGUUUUCUGUUGCUUUCAUGAAAAUUACAACAAAUUUAGUGGCUUAAAAACUAGAAAUGUGUUAUCUUAUAGUUCAAUAGUUCAGAAAUCCAAUGUGCAUCUCAAUGGGCUAAAAUCAAGGUAUCAGCAGGGCUGUAUUCCUUUCUAGGGGAUGGUCUUUACUUUCUCAUUUGGGUUGUCAGCAGAUUCAGUUCCUUGUGGUUGGAGCAAUGAGAUCUCCAUUAUCUGGCUGGCUGUCGGCUAAAAGCCAUUUCCUGGCUUCUAGAGACCAGUAUAUUCCCUAGCUCAUGGCCGUUUUGUUCUGUCUUCAAAGUCAGCAAUGGUGACUUUGUAUCUCUCCUCUUCCUUGUGUCUUAUCUUUCUAACCCAGCUUGAAAAGUUUCUACACAUAUAGACUCAUGUCAUUACAUUGAGCACAUCCAGAUAACUCAGGAUAAUCUCCUCUUCUCAAGGUCCAUAUCCUCAGUCACAUCUGCCAAGUCCCUUUUGCCAUGUAAACUGACAUAGUCACAGAUUCCAGGGGAUUAGGGUGUCAAUGUCUUUGGACGCAAUUACUCUGCCAACAGUAGAUGACAUCAUCCCAAGGAAGAUAAUAAGAAAUAGAUUCAAGCGGAAGCUGUCAAGAUUCCUUGACUUGCCUCCCAGCCUACCACCACCACUUCCUUUGGUCUGCUGAAGGAUUAACUCAGCCAGCAUACUGGAACUAUGAUCAAUGGAACUAUUGAUCAUAAACAUAAGUGACCAACUUCAGUGUUUUUAAAAGCACAGUGUCUAGGUUGUAGGAUAUACCACUCUCAAGAUGAAUCAUUUCAGUUACUCAUCUCUCAUAUUCUGCCAAAUUUGUAAAAGAGCUGUCACUAUUCAUCUGCAAUUAGACUAUAUGUAACAUUUACAUAAAGUAUAAUCAGUUGGACCUAUUUAGUUGUUUUGAGUCAGCAAUUUAAAAAUCACUCUUAGAUUCCCCAACAAGAUGGCUGACUGAAUUUUGGUUGCCAGAUCAUCCCAGAAAGAAGAAAAAGUUUCAGGUGAAAAAACAUAGUCCAGUUAUAGUUCUGAGGAAAGAGUGCCAGAACCUACUGGUGAUCACACAGGAAGAAGAUGCAAAGCAGAAUAAGAAGAAACAAGAUUUCAAAAGACAUAGACCUUUGAGGAACUUGGAGUUGCGUGCAAAGGGGAGCCUCAGCCUUUCAGUUUCCUUGUCACUGCACCCUGCACAAAUACUUCCAACCACCUGCUCAGACUGUGACAACCACAAAGGUCCAAGGUAACACAGGAGAGCUGCAGGAUUCCCCAGAGUUCUGUCCCAUAGUAUUGGAUAUACUUAUGGGACAGGAAGGUUACUUGAGCUAUAAAGUUUUGGGGGAUGAAGGAAAGUGGAAUGUGACUGGCUUUGCUGGUUUGGCCUGCUGCCAGGGGCAAGAGGUCAGAGAAAGAUCUGUUGGGCAAGGAGAGUGAGAAAAGAAUAAACACCACUCCCAUUGGUUGGACUAUGAAUUUGGGACUGCCCCAGCCCAACAAGCAGAUUCUUUGGUGUGGUGGGGACAAUUCUGCCCCUGCCUGGAUGAUUUCCCCAUUGGCCUGAGAGCCAAGUCCUAAUCUCUGUUGAGACAACACUUGCACCUGCUUUUGGGGAGCUUGGAUGUAACCUGGCCCAACCCAGCCCCACCAGGCUUUGCGUUUCCUCCUAUCUUUGUAGUGGCAGAGCACAAGAAGGGGUCCUCUGGGAGUUCCAGAGCUCCUCCCACUGCCUGGGCCAUCCAAGUGCAUCUCUUGAUUGACGAUGACCGGGCAUAAGUCCCACAAACACCCUCACAGCUGACUGUUUCUGCAUGCCCCACCUACUGGCACAGAAGUCAAUUUGUAUAGCCCAAUACAUCAUUUACUGAUUCAAUUGCACACAGUUUGGCUGACUGUCAUCCUCAAAUGCCACCUAUUGACUUAGAGAUUAAACUGGACAUCCCAAUAUAUUUCAUACUCUUAGAAGUGCAUAGGGCUAGGGAAAUACAUAAGAUUUCAAAGAUCUUCACCUCCCUAUCUUGACAGGAGGCAGAGAAUCUACCUGCACACUUAGUACACCACUGCUAUAAUCUAUAAAUAACCAGCAUUUGGGAAAACCACUGCACUAAUGCUAUCUACAACCAAGGUAUUCAUUCACAUCCUAGGUACCCCCACAAAAAAAAUAACCACAAACAAAGCCAAAGAUCCUUACCCAACAUAUGGUAUAGUCACACCCUUAAGAGGAAGGGGG